GUUGGGGCAGUAUGGGAUAAGGGUUAACAGUAUCUCGCCGUUUACUGUCGUGACCCCAAUGAUGAAAAAUCUUUUGGGGAUAAAGGACAAGAGAGAGGCAGAGGAAUUUAUUUCAUCAAUUGGGAACUUGAAAACUGUGUUAUUGGAACCUGAAGAUAUUGCAAACGCAGCUCUAUAUCUAGCAAGUGAUGAGUCCAAGUAUGUGAGCGGGAUGAACUUGGUGGUCGAUGGAGGCUAUCAUGUCACCAAUCCAUCGUUUGCAUUUGCAAUGAAAAACUUAUAUUCU
rnacentral:misc_RNA from 1 species